UUUAUAUUUUUCUUUUUAAGUUACACAAGGAUUUAUUUGAAAAUGGAUCCAGAUCUACAAAGAUGUGAAAAUAGAUUCAGAUCGAAGAUCAAAACAGUGACAAGCAUCACCCACAGAUCAUUCAGUAAUUGUGAAUUUUUCUUUUCGGUAACUCUCUCCGGAUUUUCCUCUUCUCGGCGAUCCCUCGUUCAUGAUUGAAUUCGGGAAGCAUAUCUCAUGCUCUCUCUACAGUUGUCUAACAACACCGACAACUAUGUUGCUUUCAAGAAUCAUAGUUUUCCUGUACAACACAGCUGAAUCAAUGACAAGCAGAUUGACGUUGUCUUUGACCCACAAGUUAAACAAAGUCAUUAUUUGUUACAUGAAAAGCCACAUACUGGUAUUUUAAAUGCUGGUGCAUUCUCAAAAGAAGCAAGAUAAUAUUGCAAAAAGUGGUUAAAUCAACAAUAAAGAAGAAAGAGGAAAAAUAUUGGGUGGUUGAAAGAUGAGUUUCGAUCAAGUGCAAAUCCUAUCUAUAACUUUGGUGCCAUCAACGCUACAGAUCUGGAGGCAUGAAUAUUUCGGAGAUUUCAAUAGAGUCAUAGUUAUUUUCGUAGGCAUAUGCAAUUUGCCGUUUUAUGCUAUUAACAUGGAUGCUGUGAGUUUGUUUGUAAAUUCAUCCUUUUUGUUUUUGGCGAUUUUUAAUUUGUAUUACAACAAUGUUCUUUAUCGACUAGAAUGAAUGAAUAUUUCAUUUAGUCAAAAAAAGUUAUU